AGCGAACGCUGGCGGCAGGCUUAACACAUGCAAGUCGAGCGGGCCCUUCGGGGUCAGCGGCGGACGGGUGAGUAACGCGUGGGAACGUGCCUUCUGGUCUGGAAUAACCCUGGGAAACUAGGGCUAAUACCGGAUACGCCCUUUUGGGGAAAGGUUUACUGCCGGAAGAUCGGCCCGCGUCUGAUUAGCUAGUUGGUGGGGUAACGGCCUACCAAGGCGACGAUCAGUAGCUGGUCUGAGAGGGUGAUCAGCCACACUGGGACUGAGACACGGCCCAGACUCCUACGGGAGGCAGCAGUGGGGAAUAUUGGACAAUGGGCGCAAGCCUGAUCCAGCCAUGCCGCGUGAGUGAUGAAGGCCUUAGGGUUGUAAAGCUCUUUUAUCCGGGACGAUAAUGACGGUACCGGAGGAAUAAGCCCCGGCUAACUUCGUG
rnacentral:rRNA from 1 species